GCCCCAGUUCGGAUUGCAGGCUGCAACCCGCCUGCAUGAAGCCGGAAUCGCUAGUAAUCGCGGAUCAGAAUGCCGCGGUGAAUACGUUCCCGGGUCUUGUACACACCGCCCGUCACACCAUGGGAGUCGGGAAUGCCCGAAGUCAGUGGCCCAACCGGAAGGGGGGAGCUGCCGAAGGCAGGCCCGGUGACUGGGGUGAAGUCGUAACAAGGUAGC
rnacentral:rRNA from 1 species